GGAGUGCAAAUCCGGCGAAGCACCCAAAAGGUGCCGGGGCUU
rnacentral:tRNA from 1 species